rnacentral:rRNA from 1 species
UACGUAGGGGGCAAGCGUUGUCCGGAAUCAUUGGGCGUAAAGAGCGCGUAGGCGGCCCUGUAAGUCCGCUGUGAAAGUCAAGGGCUCAACCCUUGGAUGCCGGUGGAUACUGCAGGGCUAGAGUCCGGAAGAGGCGAGUGGAAUUCCUGGUGUAGCGGUGGAAUGCGCAGGAUAUCAGGAGGAACACCGAUAAGCGAAGGCAGCUCGCUGGGACGGUACUGACGCUGAGGCGCGAA